GUCAUAGAAGCGGCCAUGUCGCAGCUGGUUCGUUUGCGCUGCUGCUCGUGGACAAUUUUGUUGUUUUUCUUGUGCCGUCGGAGGCUUUGGGCGGCGGCGGCGGCGGAGGCGGAGGACAGCUGCGACAACCUGCGACUCGGACAGUAUUUGUGUAAAGAGCCCAAGAUCGACGACGGCACUCAGGAGCCGGAAAACUGCCGCGAUGCCAGCGCGUGGGGUCGGUGCCGCGCCCCCUCUGCGUGUUUACAUCAUAGCUUGUCACCAUGGAGACCACCGAAGAAGAGUCCAGUUACUAAUGUGUGUGUGUGUGUGUGUGUGUUUGUAGUGGAGUGUCUUCCCGCUCCAAACGUCACCUGUCGACUUUCCAACGGGACGGAAUUUCGCUUCAGUGGGGAGGAGGUGGGCUUCAAUAGAACCGUUCCCUGCAGGAACGUGAGCGUCUACUCGUACAAGGUGGCCGUGGCGCUGUCGCUCUUCCUGGGCUGGCUGGGCGCCGACCGCUUCUACCUGGGAUAUCCCGCGCUCGGUACGCACGCGCACGAAGCAAGAGGAAUGUUGGCGGUCGCACAUGUGGCCAUUGUUGCUUUGUGUCUUUUCUGGGUGCCGCGUUCACCUCAGGCGUGCUGAAGUUCUGCACGGUGGGCUUCUGCGGCAUCGGAACGCUGGUGGACUUCAUCCUCAUCGCCGUGCAGGUCAGUGGCGGCGGCCAAUAGCGCGGGACUUCCGCCACAAGCUGAAGAACGCUUCCUGGGCUUAGAGCAGUUUGAUGGUGGGGCCGUCGGACGGCUCCGACUACAUCGUGGACUACUACGGCGCCCGCCUCAGCCGCCUGACCGUCACCGAGCGCACGUACAGGAAGCCGCACCUCUCCCCGUGACGGGAAGCCAGAGUCGGCCGCCCGAGCCUCACACAAAAAGUCAAAGGCACUUUUUCUUUGGUUUAAAAAAAAAAAGGAAAAUGUUUCCACAUGCACACUCACUUCUGGUUUAAAUAUCGACGACCUUUAACCACCUUCAUCUUCCACACACAUUUCGCACGACACACCUGUCAAUCAUUCUCAUAUUUAAACCAUCAUCAUCAUCAUCAUGACGUCUGUUUGUGCUCAGCUUGAAGAGUCUUGGUGAAGAAGAAAUGUGGACAUUUUGUACUGUGUGAAAUGAAUAAAUUAUGAAAGUGUAAAGCCAA